rnacentral:rRNA from 1 species
CCUACGGGGGUCAGCAGUGAGGAAUAUUGGUCAAUGGGCGGGAGCCUGAACCAGCCAAGCCGCGUGAGGGAAGAAGGUACAGCGUAUCGUAAACCUCUUUUGUCAGGGAACAAAGGCGGGGACUAGUCCCCGGAUGAGGGUACCUGAAGAAAAAGCAUCGGCUAACUCCGUGCCAGCAGCCGCGGUAAUACGGAGGAUGCGAGCGUUAUCCGGAUUUAUUGGGUUUGAAGGGUGCGCAGGCGGUCUGUUAAGUCAGCGGUCAAAGCCCGGGGCUCAACCCCGGCCCGCCGUUGAAACUGGCAGUCUCGAGUUGGAGAGAAGUAUGCGGAAUGCGCGGUGUAGCGGUGAAAUGCAUAGAUAUCGCGCAGAACUCCGAUUGCGAAGGCAGCAUGCCGGCUCCACACUGACGCUGAGGCACGAAAGCGUGGGUAUCGAACAGGAUUAGAUACCCGUGUAGUC